AGGGAGGGGUGUGGUGUGUGGGAGAAAGAGCGAGGCAGAGAGAGAGAAGGGGGUGUUGGAAAGGGAAGUUUACUACUGUGGGGAGGAUGGGAGAGAGAGAAAAAUAGCCCAUUCCUUUAAAAGAAAGCAACAACAGCAAACACUCCCCGUCCCCCUUCCCCCGUCCCCAAUAGCAAUUGCUGACAAAGGAAGAAUGAAGCUUUUGCAUCUCAGGGUGGGAUGGACUGAGGAGUGUAACUUUCCCUGUUUCCCCUCAAUAACCCAUGCUUCCCUUCUUUCGUUUGCUUCUGCAGAAUCCACGAAGGAGAAAGUAUUUGUCUUGGAUGCUAUGAGAAGAAGCUUGGAUCGUACAAAAAGGAAAACAGAUCGAGUUCCUCGACUAAAUGGUAUAUCUGGGCUUGUUUUCCAAGAAAGAGUUUCAAGCUAAGCAGAUCCGUGUGGGCGCAAGAAGGAGGACGACACCGAAAUAAGACAGGUAAAGUCUUUAACUUUUCCUUGUUUGGGAAGUUGGAUGGGCCGAGGCGAGAGAGGGGGGCAAUGUCGAUCAGAGAAAACUAUAUUGGGGAGGGGGGAGGUGAGUCGUUUUGUAAGGUGGACUAUUUGGAGGAAGGAAGACGCAGAAGCUACUUAAUAUUCGGCCGCUAAAAAUAUUUUGCAUGCAAUUUAACUGGCCCUCGUAGUCGGUAGUUAUGAGAGUGAAAAGCCCUCGACAGAGAUUAUUUCCAUAGCUCCUAAAAUCAUCCCCUUCCAUCAAAAUUUAGGGCCCUUCCACACAGCCAUAUAACCCAGAAUAUCAAGGCAGAAAAUCCCAUAAUAUCUGCGUUGAACUAACGCCUCUUCCACACAGUUGAAUAAAAUCCCACAUUUUCUGCUUUGAACUGAAAUAUAUGACAGUGUGGACUCAGAUAACCCAGUUCCAAGCAUUUUCUGCCUUGAUAUUCUGGGUUAUAUGCUGUGUGGAAGGGCCCUGAGUUAUAUGAGUCCACGAUGCCAUAUAUUCCAGUUGAAAGAAGAAAAUGGUUUUUUUUAACUGUGUGAAAGGGUCACUAGAGUUAGCAAAUCACUCUGCCAUAUAUUCCAAUUCAAAGCAGAUAUUGUGGGUUAUCUGCCUUGAUAUUCUGUGUGGAGGGCCGGAUUGUGGUGGGAAAAAUAUGAACAGCACCUCCACUCUAUAUCAGCCUUGCAACCAUACUAUGGCCCUUUCUACACUGCCAUAUAAAAUCCAAAUUGUGGAAGGGCCCUAACCCAACCUUUCUUGCCCUUUUGCAAGUUUCACACACACACACACACUCAAAGUUCACUUAAGGAGGCCUCUGCUGUAGUGGGUUUGCAUAUUUCUAAUGAGUCUCUUGCAAAUUGGGUUUCAAACGCAGGCCCCUUCCACACUGCCAUACAAUCCAAAUUAACAAAUCAGAUAAUCCACAUUAUCUACCUUGAACUGGAUUAUGAAUCUACACUGCCAGAUAAUCCAAUUCAAAUCUGAUAAUCUGGAUUUUAUAUGGCAGUGUAGAAGGGGCCAUAGUAUGUGCAAGUUUGAUAUACAGUGGAGGUGCUGUUGUUCAUAUUUUCCCAACCCCAUUCCGGCCACCGGGACCUCAACUUCCAAACGAAUUUAAGAUCCGAGUCCCAGGGCCUCUACACACCCAGAAUAACCCAGAAUAUCAAGGUAAAAAAAUCCCACAAUAUCUGUUUUGAACUGGGUUACCUGAGUCCACACUGCGAUUUAUCCCAGUUCCAAGCAGAUAAUGUGGGAUUUUAUUCAGCUGUGUGCAAGGGGCCCCAGAUAUAUUGAUCAAGUGUUGCGAUGUGGUUUAUUUCUACCCUGGAAUGUUUCUCUAUCAUUCAAAACCUUAAGCGCAGAAAAAAGAUAACGAGGUUUCUGUUUCGAUUUGUUUAAAAUAAUGUUUUCUCCUCCGAGGAAGGCAUUGAUUGGAAAGAGUUUUGGCCUGGAUCUAUCCUGCCCUAUAUCCCAGGAUCUGAUCCCAGAUUAUCUGCUUUGUACUGGAUUAUAUAAAUCUCCACUGCUAGAUAAUCUGGUAUAAGAAAAUAGCCUGGGAUCAGAUUCUGGGAUAUAAAUAUAGGGCAAUGUAGAGCCAGCCUAUGAUAAACUUUGCGGACCUGGGGACUGGUUUGUCUUUGCCCCUGAAUUUAUGGGAGAUUGCAAGGGUCACAGGAUGCCUCUGAGUGGGUACCGAUCCGAUCCGGAAAAUUAAAGAAGAAAAGCAAAAAGUAAAAUUAACCUGAUCCCCAAGAGGAUCCUAGGGCCCUUCCACACAGCCCUAUAUCCCAGAAUAUCAAGGAAGAGAAUCCAAUAAUAUCUGGUUUGAACUGAGUUAUCUGAGUCCACACUGAGGCCCCUUCCACACAGAUGAAUAAAAUCCCACGUGUUUCUGCUUUGAACUGGAAUAUAUGGCAGUGUGCAUUCAAAUAACCCCAUUCAAAGCAGAGAUGGUGGAAUUUUCUGCCUUGAUAUCAUGGGUUAUAUGGCUACGAGGAAGGGCCCCUAGGCAUCUUAAGUGGAAAGAAAUUCCCACUAAGUUCAGUAGAGUUGACUCCCGGGAAGCGAGUGUGCUUUUGGCGAUUCAUUCUUGUUCAAAGUAUCACCCUGAGGUUUAUUUUUAUUAUUUUUAAAAUAGUUCAAGCGAGCUGAUUGUUGAAAUGCAUUUUCAAUGCUAUUUUUUUUCUCAAGAGACUUUUUGGAUGUUUUGUUUAUGCAUUUCCUUAGUUUUUUUAAGCAGAUGGCUAAGAGCCCUUCCACACAGCCAUACAACCCAGAAAUAUCAAGGCAGAAAAUCCCACAAUAGAUGCUUUGAACUGGGUUAUCAGAGUCCACACUGCCAUAUAUCCCAGUUCAAAGCUGAAAAUGUGGGAUUUUAUUCAGCUGUGCGGUAGGGGGCCUUAGUUCUGGGCAACGGUGUGGCUGGAAUAAACUAAUUGUUGGAACUUUACUUCAAUUCCUAAAGGUUCAUAAUCUCACAACAGAAGUCCUUCCCCGAAAUCCUGAAAGAGGAGUGGGUGCAAACAGCAAGAACCCGUCAUUCAGAACUGUUUCCUCUUCCUUUCGAAAACUGAAACCACCUUUAAAAUAAUGUAGGAUGCUUUAAAAAUGGUUUGUUGUUAGAAAAAGAGGCCUUAGAAAAUGGAAGCUCCUUCUGGUUUCCCAAAUCCUCUCCUCUCCCUUUGAGAAACUCGCAAGGUCUCGCAGCAUAUUAUAAUUCGCAAGUAAGUCAACAGAAUGGCUGUAUUGUUGAGUUGCUUUUAAAGAUCCCAAAAUAGAAAAUCCUUUGGAAAAAAAAAAAGUGGGAAAGAGGGGAGAGGAAAUUGGCUGGCGAUUCCAGCCAUUUGAAACCAGCCCACAUUGCUUGGAACAUUCGCUUUGAGAUUCAUAAAAUAUUUAAAACUCCAAGUCAACCUUUUUCCUAUUUAUUGCCCUGUAUAAUUCAACAUUAUCGCGUAUUAAUAAGCCAAUAAUGAUAAUCUCUAUAGGAAAAGCCUGCUAGUUGGGCCGCUUUUAUGGCCGCCCUUAUCCUUUCUAAUGACCUUUGGCUCGGCAGAGUAAUAACUCAUUAUGGAAUGAGCAAUUGUCUGGAGUGCCUUAAAUACCUCACAAUCUUUCUUUCUCACUCACUCUCUUCUCCUUUCUCUUUCUCCUCGCUACUCCCUGAACAGUUCCAAGAAGGGAUCUGUAUGGCAGGGAAUCCUCUUCUCAGGCCUCAGAGAAAGAAAGAGAACAAGCAAGACUCUCCAGUUUAACUUGCUGCUACUGAUACUCUGCAGUGCAAAAAUCCAAGGGUUCCUUGCUGUGGAGGUACUAUUUGUCUAAUUCUUCUGGAUAUUAUCUAUUUGUGCUCCCCUGGGUCUUUAGAAAACCCCAUCUCCAAAUAACUGCCUUGCUAUGUUUUACAAUUAAUAUUACUACUAGUAGUAAUGCUACCCGCACCUCUUACUACUAACACCCACAUUUUGCAAUCCUUCUUAUAUCAGCUGCAGCAGUUCCAGAAUUACUAAGAUCAUUAUGACCAGGGGUCCCCAAACUAAGGCCCAGGGGCGGAUGCGGCCCUCCAAGGUAAUUUACCUGGCCCCGCCCUCAUUUAUAAUGUAAUAUUUUUAUAUCAGUUUUAAUAAUAUAAUAUAUUGUAUAUACAUAUAAUAUUGAUAAUAAUAUUAUCAUUUUAUACAAUACAAUACUAACAAUAAUAUCAUAUAAUAAUAUUAAUUACAUGUUAUAUCUAUAUAUAUAAAUGAGUGAUGGCAUCACGGCGACUCACAAAACAACAAAACUACAGGCCUCCCAACCUCGAAAUUUGACCACACAACCCAUCAUCCAUGCCUCUAGGUUGAUACAACAAAAUAAAAGAAAAAUAAAGUCCUAAUUAGAGGGAAAGCAAUAAUUUUUUAAAUCCAAUUGCUGCCAGUUUAGAGGGCUAAUCUCUGCCCACUUGGUCUCCUAGCAACCAAGGGACAGCCAUGGUUCAGUUAGGGGACAGGCAGAUUUAGGCCUCAUUUAUGUUUCUUCCACAUAUUAUCUAAUUUGAACUGGAUUAUAUGGCAGUGUAGACUCAAGGCCCUUCCAUACAGCUAUAUAACCCAUUUACAAUCUUAUACUAUCUGCUUUCAACUAGAUUGUCUUGACUCCACACUGCCAUAUAAUCCACUUCAGUGUGCAUUUUAUACACUUGCGUAGAAGGGGCCUCAUAUAAUCCAGUUCUAUCAGAUAAUAUAAGAUUAUAAAUAUACAGUACAGUCUCACUUAUCCAACAUAAACAGGGUGUCAGAACAUUGGAUAAGUGAAUAUCUUGGAUAAUAAAAAGGGAUUCAGGAAAAGCCGAUUAAACAUCAAAUUAGGUAAUUCGCCACAGCAAUGCGUGGCCGGGCACAGCUAGUAUUAUAUAAAACAGUACAGUAUAGUGGUAUAGUUCAAUAUAGUAUAAUGCUAAUAUUGUGCUAUGCUAAUAAUAUAAUAUAUUGUAUGUACAUACAGCUGCUCUGAGUUCUCUUCGGGGUGAGAAGGGUGGGAUAUAAAUGUAGUAAAUAAAUGUAGCAAAUGAAUAAAUAAAUAAUUUUGGACUUAGGCUCGCCCAAAGUCUGAAAUGACUUGAAGACACACAACAACAACAACAAUCCUGAUUAACCUGACUAUCUCAUUGGCCAGAAGCAGGCCCACACUUCCUAUUAAAAUCCUGAUAGGUUUAUGUUGGUUAAAAUUAUUUUCAUUUUAAAAUAUUGUAUUGUUCUUUCAUUGUUAUUGUUUUGCACUACAAAUAAGAUAUGUGCAGUGUGCAUAGGAAUUUGUUCGGUUUUUCCCCCCAAAUGAUAAUUCAUCCCCUCAACAGUCUGAAGGAUUGUGGACUGGCCCUCUGCUUUAAAAUAGUCUGAUUAUGACUAUUGGUAUUAUUGUAAUAAUGGUACUAAACUUCUGCCCCUUUGCAACUACAGUAGAGUCUCACUUAUCCAAGCUAAACUGGCCGGGAGAACCUUGGAUAAGCGAAUAUCUUGGAUAAUAAGGAGAAAUUAAGGAAAAGCCUAUUAAACAUCAAAUUAGGUUAUGAUUUUACAAUUUAAGCACCAAAACAUCAUGUUAUACAACAAAUAUGACAGAAAAAGUAGUUCAAUAAACAGUAAUGUUAUGUUGUAAUUACUGUAUUUACGAAUUUAGCACCAAAAUAUCAUGAUAUAUUGAAAACAUUGACUACAAAAAUAGCUUGGAUAAUCCAGAAUCUUGGGUAAGUGAGACUCUACUGUAAUUGGAUAUGAAAAAACAACGGAGAACAGGCAGAGUGCAGUGAUUUGAGCUUUGGAUUAUGGGCCCCUUCCACACAGCUGAAUAAAACUCCACAUUAUCUGCUUUGAAUAUAUAGCAGUGUGGACUCAGGGCCCUUCCACACAGCCCUAUAUCCCAGAAUAUCAAGGCAGAAAAUCCCACAAUAUCUGCUUUGAACUGGGUUAUCUGAGUCCACACUCAGAUAAUGUGGGACUUUCUGCCUUGAUAUUCUGAGAUAUAGGGCUAUGUGGAAGGGCCCACAGAUAACCUGGUUCAAAUCAGAUAUUGUGGGAUUUUCUGCCUUGAUAUUCUGGGUUAUAUGGCUGUGUGAAAGGGCCCUACAACUCUGCAAAACAGGACUGAACUCCCCAUUCAGCCAUGGAAAUCCACUGGUUGACUUGGCAAGUCACACUCUCUCAGCAGGCCCAUUCUACACUGCCAUAUAAUACAGAUUAUCAAAUCAGAUAAUCCAGUUAAAAGCAGAUAAUUUGGAUUUUAUACAGCUGUAUAGAAGGAGCCUUAGAGAAAGGCAAGGGAAGAUGCACUCUGAUCAAAUCUUGCUGAGAGAAUCCAAUGAUAGCAUCACUUUAGGGUCAGAAAUAAUCUAGCACAAAACAAUAACAACAACAACCACUCAUGUACAGUAGAGUCUCACUUAUCCAACAUAAACGGGGCUGGCAGAAUGUUGGAUAAGCGUAUAUGUUGGAUAAUAAGGAGGGAUUAAAGAAAAGCCUAUUAAACAUCAAAUUAGGUUAUGAUUUCACAAAUUAAGCACCAAAACAUCAUGUUAUACAACAAAUUUGACAGAAAAGUAGUUCAAUACGCAGUAAUGCUAUGUACUAAUUACUGUAUUUAAGAAUUUAGCACCAGAAUAUCACGAUGUAUUGAAAACAUUGACUACAAAAAUGUGUUGGAUAAUCCAGAACGUUGGAUAAGUGAGACUCUACUGUACUUCCAAAUCCUGUUGGCUACCAAUAUUACUAGGACAACAACACAGACUAUCCCUCAGAACACAAAGGGCACCCUGCCACUUCCACAACCACAGUGAUCAAAGUAGUCUAUGUGUAGCAGCACAAUGAUUUCUCAUAUUUUCCCUCGAAAGGAGUCUCCAAGACACAAAGACACACAUGCUCAUCCUAUUGAAGUCCUUGUAAUGAAAUUUCUUUUGCUCAAAGUAGGACAAAGUACUCUAGCAAUGCUGAGAUCUAAACCCAAUCAUUGCUAGCUGGAAACUGCAGUUUUGGACUGAAGACCAAAAUAUAACAAAAUUAGUGGAAAGAUAGUAUAUAUUGCUCACUAUAUGGCAUAUUAGAUCUAUUAAUUGGCAUAACAGAAGAGUAACAAUGUCACAUUUGUUGAAACAAUGUUAACAGAGAGCCUUGUGACACCUUAAAGAUUAAAAAUUUUGGCAGAUAGAAGCACCACAUUAGAUACCUGAGGUAUUAUCUGGAGUUGUAAGUAUGUGUACACACACACAUGGCUGAGUCAAAGCAAACAAGGGCUCAGAGGGAUUUUUUUUUUUUGCUUUGCCUCACCUGUGUAUAAAAUGAGUGCUUAAAAAAAGAUUAACAGCAGAAUUUGUGUAUAAAGUGGUUCCUUGGAACCCACUAGAGUUUGGGUCCAAGAUACACAGCAAAAUCUGUGGGAUGCUCAAGUCCAAUUAUAUAUAAUGGUGAAAUGAAGGAGCAAUCCUUGUAUAAAAUGACAGAAUGUAUGUUUGCUUAUUGGAUUUAAAAAUAUAUCUUCAAGGUGUGGACCAUUGAACCUAUGAUGCAAGACCUGAAUCUCCUUAUAUUUUUCUCUCUUGGUGACUUUUGAAUUAAUUGUUUUUCAAUUGUAUUAAAGACAACUUUACAAGCAAA